rnacentral:rRNA from 1 species
UACGUAGGUGGCAAGCGUUGUCCGGAUUUACUGGGCGUAAAGGGCGCGUAGGCGGCUUGAUAGCGUGCGGUGAAAGCCCGGGCUCAACCCCGGGUCGGCCGUGCGAACUGUCGAGCUGGAGCACUGUAGAGGCAGGUGGAAUUCCGGGUGUAGCGGUGGAAUGCGUAGAGAGUCCGGAAGAACACCGGUGGCGAAGGCGGCGUGCUGGGUU